rnacentral:rRNA from 1 species
AUGAGACUAAGCAAUGCUAGUCGAGCGUCUCAAGCCAUGACGAGACGCGGCAAACGGCUCAGUAACACGUGGCCAACCUAACCUUAGGACAGAGACAACCCCGGGAAACUGGGGCUAAUCCCCGAUAGGCGAAGAGGCCUGGAACGGUUCUCCGCCCAAAAGACAUUGGGAUCAUGCUUCCCAACGCCGCCUAAGGAUGGGGCCGCGGCCGAUCAGGUUGUUGGUGAGGUAACGGCCCACCAAGCCUUUAACCGGUACGGGCCAUGAGAGUGGGAGCCCGGAGAUGGGCACUGAGACAAGGGCCCAGGCCCUACGGGGUGCAGCAUGCGCGAAAACUCCGCAAUGCGCGAAAGCGUGACGGGGUUACCCCGAGUGCCGUCCGCUGAGGAUGGCUUUUCUCCGGUUUAAGGAGCCAGAGGAAUAAGGGGAGGGCAAGUCUGGUGUCAGCCGCCGCGGUAAUACCAGCUCCCCGAGUGGUAGGGACGAUUAUUGAGCUUGAAGCGUCCGUAGCCGGCCUGACAAGUCUUCCGUUAAAUCCAGCGACCCAAUCGCUGGACCGCGAAAGAUACUGCCAGGCUAGGGGACGAGAGAGGCCGACGGUAUUCUCGGAGUAGGGGUGAAAUCUUAUAAUCCCGAGGGGACCACCAGUGGCGAAGGCGGUCGGCUAGAACGCGCCCAACGGUGAGGGACGAAAGCUGGGGGAGCGAACCGGAUUAGAUACCCGGGUAGUCCCAGCUGUAAACGAUGCGGGCUAGGUGUUGGAGCGGCCACGAGCCGCUUCGGUGCCGCAGGGAAACCGUUAAGCCCGCCGCUUGGGAAGUACGGCCGCAAGGCUGAAACUUAAAGGAAUUGGCGGGGGAGCACCACAAGGCGUGAAGCUUGCGGUUCAAUUGGAGUCAACACCGGAAACCUUACCGGGAGCGACAGCAGGAUGAAGGCCAGAUUAAAGGUCUUGCUAGACAAGCUGAGAGGAGGUGCAUGGCCGUCGCCAGUUCGUGCCGUGAGGUGUCCUGUUAAGUCAGGCAACGAUCGAGACCCGCGCCCCUAGUUGCUACUGCGGAAAGUUUCCAAAGAGCAAGACUAGGGGGACCGCCACCGAUAAGGUGGAGGAAGGUGCGGUCCACGGCAGGUCAGUAUGCCCCGAAUCUCCCGGGCCACACGCGAGCUGCAAUGGCAGGGACAGAGGGUCCACCACCCCGAAAGGGGAAUGUCAUCCCUAAACCCUGCCUCAGUUGGGAUCGAGGGCUGAAACCCGCCCUCGUGA